rnacentral:tRNA from 1 species
AUCCAUGAUGGCCGAGGCAUCAGGCAUCGAGCUUUUAACUCGAUCACAGUUAUUAUAACUUCAGGAUA